rnacentral:lncRNA from 1 species
UGGGUUUGCUCCAUGACUCCAGGUAGCCCGAGGGCAAUUCUUGUGCUAGACGGCUAUACCGCCUUCAGAUACUCUCGUAUCCCAUGAAAAGAAAUGAACUAACAAAAAUUCUACGAAAAAGAUUAAAAAUAUAGAUGGACAGUGUCUACCAUCAUGCAAAAGUUGAGUUGCAAAUAAAAUUUGGCCGAAUUUUUUUUAGAAAAAUGACACUGUAGCACUUUCGUUUUUAUUUAACAAACAUUAUCCAAUUAUGGAGUAACUAGGCUUAAAAGAUUCGUCUCGCGAUUUACAGACAAACUGUGUAAUUAGUUUUUUAUUUUCAUAUAUAUAUUUAAUGUUCCAUGCAUGUGCCGUAAGAUUCGAUGUGACGGAAAAUCUUGAAAAGUUUAGGAUUUUGGGGUGAACUAAACAAGGCUUUGUACAAGGAGAAAUCGACCUGUGAAUAGUGCAGGUUGCAAUUUUUCAUCUUAGACCCGCAACAUGCUAUUAUUCAUAGGCUAAUUUCUCUUUUUUUUAUUUCUUUGGACUCAAAAUUUUUAUUUAGAAAGGACGGUAAAAAGUUUGUCAUAUAAUUUAUUAGAUGAUAGUAAAAGAACAAAGGUGCUAUAUAAACUUUACAAACAGUCCAUGAGACGAUGACCCCUCUAGUUUUAUUGUUCAACUAUUAUCAGACGAUGUAACUAUCUUCAAUCAAUAAAGCUUGCCUCAGGGCUUUUAUCAAAAAAAACUUUACAAACAGUUAGUCAAAUCCAGAGACCAACAACUUAACCUGAAGAAAAAAAAAGAAAAAAGAAACAUGACAAAACAACAACCAAGAAAAGAGAAUGUAACACCCCAGGCUCGGCAUAUGGUUUAGGCCCACUAUGAUGAGUGGAUCCUACCUACGUAGCAAUUUGCUUGUGUUUCCAUCCUCGUCACGCGCAAGAUUACUAUGUGUCCUUGGUCAAAUCUGAAGAAAAGCAACUUAACCUAAAGAAAAAAAAGAACGUAACAAAAUGACAACCGAGAAAAGAGAAUGUAACACCUUAGGCCAGGCACAUGGUUUAGGCUCACUCAGCCGAGGAGUGGACCCACCAACGUAGCAAUCUACCCGCAUUUUUGUCCUCACUUCAAAUAAAAUGAUUGGUCUGACUAUCUAAGGUGGUCUGGUUAUAGCCUGACCCAACCGUAAUUUGGCCCAUGGGCUGGAUCUCACAUCCACCCACCCUUAAUGAAUUCAAGGUUCUCGUCGAGCUAUCCAACCAACUUAUUAUCCAUACAGGACAAAUGCUUAUCUAACCAUACAUGACAAAUGUUUAGGAUCAACGAGCCAUGCACAACCUGUCCAGGCUUCCAGAUCAUACAAAGCGUGAAAUCGCAAGAGUUAGCUCUAAAUAUCAUUCGUAAUGCUCUAACCAGGAAGACGCCUAAGGCCCACUCUACACGUUGAAUGAGCACAUCUGCUAACUAACUGUUGUGUACUUUUGUCCUCAUUUCGUACAAAAGAGUCAAUCCAGAGUUAACAACCUCCUAGGUCUAGGCUUUUAAGUUGAUCUAGCUUUCCUUCUAUUUUCAGUGUGAGACUAAACUAGAAAUAUUACCUCAUUGCUAUAGUGUUGUGAAUUUGGUCCGGCCCAACUAGCCCAAUGGACUAGGUCUCACAGAGAAUGGGCUUGAGUUGACCAUAGACGAUUGCUGCAACCCCGACUAUGAAACUACUGGAUUUUUGUUGAGGAUUGCGUUGGGGCC